AUGAACGCUGGCGGCGUGCUUAACACAUGCAAGUCGAACGGAAAGGCCAGUGCUUGCACUGGUGCUCGAGUGGCGAACGGGUGAGUAACACGUGGGUGAUCUGCCCUGCACUUUGGGAUAAGCCUGGGAAACUGGGUCUAAUACCAGAUAGGACCAUGCUUUGGAUGGUGUGGUGGAAAGUUUUUUCGGUGUGGGAUGAGCUUGCGGCCUAUCAGCUUGUUGGUGGGGUAAUGGCCUACCAAGGCGUCGACGGGUAGCCGGCCUGAGAGGGUGUACGGCCACAUUGGGACUGAGAUACGGCCCAGACUCCUACGGGAGGCAGCAGUGGGGAAUAUUGCACAAUGGGCGCAAGCCUGAUGCAGCGACGCCGCGUGGGGGAUGACGGCCUUCGGGUUGUAAACUCCUUUCGCAACUGACGAAGCUUUUUGCGACGGUAGGUUGUGAAGAAGCACCGGCUAACUACGUG
rnacentral:rRNA from 1 species